rnacentral:rRNA from 1 species
UACGGAGGGCGCAAGCGAUGUUCGGAAUCACUGGGCGUAAAGCGCGUGUAGGCGGCUUGGCAAGUCGGGUGUGAAAUCCCGGGGCUCAAACCCGGUACUGCAUUCGAUACUGCCUGGCUCGAGUCUCGGAGAGGGUGGCGGAAUUCCCGGUGUAGAGGUGAAAUUCGUAGAUAUCGGGAGGAACACCAGCGGCGAAGGCGGCCACCUGGACGGUGACUGACGCUGAGACGCGAAAGCGUGGGGAUCAAUCAGG